rnacentral:rRNA from 1 species
CAACUAGGAUGUUGGCUUAGAAGCAGCCAUCAUUUAAAGAGUGCGUAAUAGCUCACUAGUCGAGUGACACUGCGCCGAAAAUGUACCGGGGCUAAACAUAUUACCGAAGCUGUGGAUUGUCCUUUGGACAAUGGUAGGAGAGCGUUCUAAGGGCGUUGAAGCAUGAUCGUAAGGACAUGUGGAGCGCUUAGAAGUGAGAAUGCCGGUGUGAGUAGCGAAAGACGGGUGAGAAUCCCGUCCACCGAUUGACUAAGGUUUCCAGAGGAAGGCUCGUCCGCUCUGGGUUAGUCGGGUCCUAAGCUGAGGCCGACAGGCGUAGGCGAUGGAUAACAGGUUGAUAUUCCUGUACCACCUAUAAUCGUUUUAAUCGAUGGGGGGACGCAGUAGGAUAGGCGAAGCGUGCGAUUGGAUUGCACGUCUAAGCAGUAAGGCUGAGUAUUAGGCAAAUCCGGUACUCGUUAAGGCUGAGCUGUGAUGGGGAGAAGACAUUGUGUCUUCGAGUCGUUGAUUUCACACUGCCGAGAAAAGCCUCUAGAUAGAAAAUAGGUGCCCGUACCGCAAACCGACACAGGUAGUCAAGAUGAGAAUUCUAAGGUGAGCGAGCGAACUCUCGUUAAGGAACUCGGCAAAAUGACCCCGUAACUUCGGGAGAAGGGGUGCUCUUUAGGGUUAACGCCCAGAAGAGCCGCAGUGAAUAGGCCCAAGCGACUGUUUAUCAAAAACACAGGUCUCUGCUAAACCGUAAGGUGAUGUAUAGGGGCUGACGCCUGCCCGGUGCUGGAAGGUUAAGAGGAGUGGUUAGCUUCUGCGAAGCUACGAAUCGAAGCCCCAGUAAACGGCGGCCGUAACUAUAACGGUCCUAAGGUAGCGAAAUUCCUUGUCGGGUAAGUUCCGACCCGCACGAAAGGCGUAACGAUUUGGGCACUGUCUCAACGAGAGACUCGGUGAAAUCAUAGUACCUGUGAAGAUGCAGGUUACCCGCGACAGGACGGAAAGACCCCGUGGAGCUUUACUGUAGCCUGAUAUUGAAAUUCGGCACAGCUUGUACAGGAUAGGUAGGAGCCUUUGAAACGUGAGCGCUAGCUUACGUGGAGGCGCUGGUGGGAUACUACCCUAGCUGUGUUGGCUUUCUAACCCGCACCACUUAUCGUGGUGGGAGACAGUGUCAGGCGGGCAGUUUGACUGGGGCGGUCGCCUCCUAAAAGGUAACGGAGGCGCUCAAAGGUUCCCUCAGAAUGGUUGGAAAUCAUUCAUAGAGUGUAAAGGCAUAAGGGAGCUUGACUGCGAGACCUACAAGUCGAGCAGGGUCGAAAGACGGACUUAGUGAUCCGGUGGUUCCGCAUGGAAGGGCCAUCGCUCAACGGAUAAAAGCUACCCCGGGGAUAACAGGCUUAUCUCCCCCAAGAGUUCACAUCGACGGGGAGGUUUGGCACCUCGAUGUCGGCUCAUCGCAUCCUGGGGCUGUAGUCGGUCCCAAGGGUUGGGCUGUUCGCCCAUUAAAGCGGUACGCGAGCUGGGUUCAGAACGUCGUGAGACAGUUCGGUCCCUAUCCGUCGUGGGCGUAGGAAAUUUGAGAGGAGCUGUCCUUAGUACGAGAGGACCGGGAUGGACAUACCUCUGGUGUACCAGUUGUCGUGCCAACGGCAUAGCUGGGUAGCUAUGUGUGGACGGGAUAAGUGCUGAAAGCAUCUAAGCAUGAAGCCCCCCUCAAGAUGAGAUUUCCCAACUUCGGUUAUAAGAUCCCUCAAAGAUGAUGAGGUUAAUAGGUUCGAGGUGGAAGCAUGGUGACAUGUGGAGCUGACGAAUACUAAUCGAUCGAAGACUUAAUCAAAA